rnacentral:rRNA from 1 species
CAGUAGCCACGGGAAUACGAAGGGGGCUAGCGUUGUUCGGAUUUACUGGGCGUAAAGCGCACGUAGGCGGACUUUUAAGUCAGGGGUGAAAUACCGGGGCUCAACCCCGGAACUGCCUUUGAUACUGGAAGUCUUGAGUAUGGUAGAGGUGAGUGGAAUUCCGAGUGUAGAGGUGAAAUUCGUAGAUAUUUGGAGGAACACCAGUGGCGAAGGCGGCUCACUGGACCAUUACUGACGCUGAGGUGCGAAAGCGUGGGGAGCAAACAGGAUUAGAUACCCGCGUAGUCCCUGUCUCUUAUAC